rnacentral:rRNA from 1 species
UACAGAGGUCCCAAGCGUUGUUCGGAUUCACUGGGCGUAAAGGGUGCGCAGGUGGUUUGGCAAGUUUGACGUGAAAGCCCCGGGCUUAACCCGGGAAUGGCGUUGAAAACUGCUUGAACUGGAGGGUCGGAGGGGGGACUGGAAUUCUUGGUGUAGCAGUGAAAUGCGUAGAUAUCAAGAGGAACACCAGUGGCGAAGGCGAGUCCCUGGACGAUACCUGACACUGAGGCGCGAAAGCCAAGGGAGCAAACAGG